CCUCGGGAGGCAGCAGUGGGGAAUCUUGGACAAUGGGGGCAACCCUGAUCCAGCCAUGCCGCGUGAGUGAAGAAGGCCCUAGGGUCGUAAAACUCUUUCGCCUGUGAUGAUAAUGACAGUAGCAGGUAAAGAAACCCCGGCUAACUCCGUGCCGGCAGCCGCGGUAAUACGGAGGGGGUUAGCGUUGUUCGGAAUUACUGGGCGUAAAGCGCACGUAGGCGGAUUAGAAAGUUAGAGGUGAAAUCCCGGGGCUCAACCCCGGAACUGCCUUUAAAACUACUAGUCUAGAGUUCGAGAGAGGUGAGUGGAAUUCCGAGUGUAGAGGUGAAAUUCGUAGAUAUUCGGAGGAACACCAGUGGCGAAGGCGGCUCACUGGCUCGAUACUGACGCUGAGGUGCGAAAGUGUGGGGAGCAAACAGGAUUAGAUACCCUGGUAGUCCACACCGUAAACGAUGAAUGCCAGUCGUCGGGUAGUAUACUAUUCGGUGACACACCUAACGGAUUAAGCAUUCCGCCUGGGGAGUACGGUCGCAAGAUUAAAACUCAAAGGAAUUGACGG
rnacentral:rRNA from 1 species